UUGAUCAUAAACACACAAUUCAUCGGAUCUCGACAAACACACUGCAAAAAGAGUUACAUAGAAUAGAUCUCCAAGAAGAUCAAGGAGAACAUGGUAUUGGGAUCCAAAGAGAGAGAAAAGGCCAUCUAGCUGAUAACUAUGGACCCGAAGGUCUGUGGCAAACUACUCACAACUCAUCGGAGAGGCCUUGGACAUGAUGUAGAGGCCCUCCGUAGUCGAUUCCCCCUCCGGUGGAGCACCGGCGAAGCCUCCAAGAUGGGAUCUCGCGGAUACAGAAGGUUGCGGCGGUGGAAUUAGGUUUUCGUUGGCUCCCGUGAUGUUCUCGGGGUACGUGGGUAUAUAUAGGAGGAAGAAGUAGGUCAGUGGACUCUCGACGGGCCCACGAGAUAGGGGGCGCGCCCAGUAGGGGGGGCACCCUCCACCCUCGUGGCCACCUUGAUUGUUGCAUGACUUCCACUUAAGUCCUCUAGAUCAUGUUUGUUCCAAAAAUCACGCUCCCGAAGGUUUCAUUCCGUUUGGACUCCGUUUGAUAUUCCUUUUCUUCGAAACACUGAAAUAGGCAAAAAAACAGCAUUACGGGCUGGGCCUCCGGUUAGUAGGUUAGUCCCAAAAAUGAUAUAAAUGUGUAAAGUAAAGCCCAUAAACAUCCAAAAUGGGUAAUAUAAUAGCAUGGAACAAUAAAAAAUUAUAAAUAUGUUGGAGACGUAUCAGCAUACAUGAUAGAACCUAUGGUUGAGGCAUAGGGAAUGACUUUCAUUUUCUCUCUAUCUUCUACAGUGGUCCGGCAUUGAGUCUGACUCAACUUCACACCUUGUAACACAGGCAAGAACCCUUUCUUUGACUGAUCCAUUUUGAACUUCUUCAAAACUUUAUCAAGGUAUGUGCUUUGUGAAAGUCCUAUUAAGCAUCUUGAUCUAUCUCUAUAGAUCUUGAUGCCCGAUAUAUAAGCCGUUUCACCGGUCUUUCAUGAAAAACCUUUUAUUCAAGUACCCUUUUAUGCUAUCUAGAAAUUCUAUAUCAUUUCCAAUCAACAAUAUGUUAUCUACAUAUAAUAUUAGAAAUUCUAUAGAGCUCCCACUCACUUUCUUGUAAAUACAGGCUUCUCCAAAAGUCUAUAUAAAACCAUAUGCUUUGAUCACCUCAUCAAAGCAUAUAUUCCAACUCCGAGAUGUUUGCACCAGUCCAUCAAUGGAUCGCUGGAGCUUUCACACUUUGUUAGCACCUUUAGGAUCGACAAAACCUUCUGGUUGCAUCAUAUACAACUCUUCUUUAAGAAAUCCAUUAAGGAAUGCAGUUUUGACGUCCAUUUGCCAGAUUGAAGUCCUCCAAGUAGCAUCUCCAAGUAGCACCGCAUAGCAUAAUCCUACCCGGCGAUCCUCCCCUCGUCGCCCUGUGGAAAAGCGAUCACCGGGUUGUCUGUGGAACUUGGAAGGGUGUGUUUUAUUAAGUAUCCGAUUCUAGUUGUCAUAAGGUCAAGGUACAACUCCAAGUCGUCCUGUUACCGAAGAUCACGACAAUUCGAAUAGAUUAACUUCCCUGUAGGGGUGCACCACAUAACCCAACACGCUCGAUCCCAUUUGGCCGCACACACUUUCCUGGGUCAUGCCCGGCCUCGGAAGAUCAACACAUCGCAGCCCCACCUGGGCACAACAGAGAGGUCAGCACGCCGGUCUAAAUCCUAUGCACGCAUGGGUCUGGGCCCAUCGCCCAUUGCACACCUGCACGUUGCGAGGGCGGUCAGAAGCAGACCUAGCCUCCCUUAUACAAGAGUAGGCGUUCCAGUACAAUCCGGCGCGCGCCGCUCCGUCGCUGACGUCAAGAAGGCUUCGGCUGAUACCACGAUGUCGAGUGCCCAUAACUGUUCCCGCGUAGUUGGUUAGUGCAUAUAGGCCAGUAGCCAGACUCAGAUCAAAUACCAAGAUCUCGUUAAACGUCUUAAGUAUCCGCGAACGCCGACCAGGGCCAGGCCCACCUGUCUCCUAGGUGGUCUCAACCUGCCAUGUCGCUCCGCCACAAAGUAACAGUCGGGGGCCGUUGGGAACCCAGGCCCACCUCUACCGGGAUGGAGCCACCUGUCCUUCCAGCCCCCACAUCGGAACCACUUGCGGGUACUCAACAAGCUGACCCGACUUUAGUCACCAUCUGUAUAGGAUAUGUAUGUAUAGUAAAUACCCGUGAUCACCUCCCGAGUGAUCAUGACCCGAUAGUAUAGCAAGGCAGACUGACAAGAAUGUAGGGCCAAUGAUGAUAAACUAGAAUCCUAUACUAGGCAUUUAGGAUUGCGGGUAAGGUAUCAAUGACUGUAGCAACAAUGACAGGCUAUGCAACAGAAUAGGAGUAACCGAACAGUAACAUGCUACACUACUCUAAUGCAAGCAGUGUAGAGAAGAAUAGGCGAUAUCUGGUGAUCAAAGGAGGGGCUUGCCUGGUUGCUCUGGCAAGGAGGGGUCGUCAACUCCGUAGUCGAACUGGGGGUCGCCGGCAGUCUCGGGGUCUACUGGAAAAAAGUAACGGAGGGGGAACACAAUAAAUAACAGAGCAAUCAAAGCAUCACAAAGCAUAACAUGGCAAUACGCGGUGCUAGGUAUGCCCUAACGCGGUAGUAGGUGGUACCGGCGAAAGGGGGAAACAUCCGGGAAAGUAUCCCCGGUGUUUCGCGUUUCCGGACAGAUGAACCAGAGGUGAAAAGUUGCGAGUUCGAUAGGUUAGGGAGGUGUGCCGGAUGAACGGGCUGCGUAUCCAGAUUCGUCUCGUCGUUCUGAGCAACUUUCAUGUAGAAAGUAUUUUCAUCCGAGCUACGGUUUAUUUUAUACUUCCUCUGUAAACUAAUAUAAGAGUGUUUAGAUAACUACUUUAGUAUUCUAAACACUCUUAUAUUAGUUUAUGGAGGGAGUACUAAUUUAAAAAGAUUUAAUCAUUUCCUAGAUUUCCUGGAUUUAAUUUAAUUCGAAAUUAAAAACAGAAUAUACUUUCGUCACCUAGUGCUACCCUAGCAUGUGAGUAUGACAGUGGGGCCAGUGGGGUUGGGUUGACCCAGUCAAAGGUUGACUGGUCAACAUAUGAAUAGUGUAAGUGGGUCCCAUGUGUCAUUGUCUUUUGUUUAAUAAAAUGGUAAUUAACCAGGGUGGUCCCACAUGUCAUUUACACUAUACCUAACCACUACUUAGCAUAACUACUAAUUAGCUAACCUACCUAACCAGGAUCAGCCUCAUCCACACACAUACGCACACACACAACGCGCUCACACACACACACAACUACGCACACAUCACACACACACACUGGCGCACACGGCCAUGGCCGUGGCCAGCAGCAGCAGGCAACGGCGGGCAGCGGCGGCUCCUAGUGGCAGCAGCAGUACGAGAGCAGCAGGGGGCACCUAGCAGCAGCAGCAGUACGAAGAGCAGUAGCAAGAGGAGCGGCAAGAAUAGCAGCACGCAUCGGCAGUAUGCAGCAGCAAGGACGCAGCAGCGGCACAAGCAGUAGCAGGCAACAUCGACGAGCACGACAAAGGCGCGACCACGGGGAGGAGCAAGCGAGCGAGCAGGGGCGCGACCUCGCGCACGCGUAGGAGCGCAGCACGCGUACCCGGGCGUGGCCGGCGGCCGAGCGCAAACACUGGGCGGCCAGGACGCAGGGCUCGAGGGCGGUGAGCGUGACGCGGUCGUGGUGGCCGCGGCCAUCGGCCGGAAUUUGGGCAGCGCCACAGAGCGACGAACAGAGGGGGAAACGAGAGGAAUGGGGGUGGCGCUCACAGGGGAAGGCGGAGGACGCGUCCGACGGGGCAGAGGAGCUCCGGUGAGGUAGAUCGGGCGCGGGGCAGCGGCAGCCAUUGGCGAGGUAGAUGCGUCGAUCCCGACGAUGUAGUUGAUCCGGGCUCGCGUAGAAGGGCAGGGGCGGCGUGUGUUGACGCGGCGAAGCUCCCGAACAACCUCCCGUGGCACGGGGAGUCCUCGGGGCACGAGAACGUCGACAAGGUGGAGACGACUCCGUUAGGUGUGCACCAAAACGAUGGGGGCGACGAAGAGGAGAGGGCUAAGUGACCUAGGGUUCGUCCAACAAAGAAAGGAGGGGCUCGGGGUGUUCUUAUCCUCACGCGAAGUUACCGGAUGGACGACGUGUGGAGAUCGGAGGCGUGUGCGGGCACGCGUGCUCCAUGGUGACGAGGGUGAACAGGAGGUUGGGGAUGGCCGUAGGUGGGCUGGGCUAUGUGCUGUAGCGAUGGGCUACAGUGCACAGUGUAGCUUUAGGCCUUUUCUUCUUUUUCUUUUUUUUUUAUAAUUAUUUUUCUGUUUUGCUUUUCUUUACAGUUUUGUAUUUUUUUUGAUCUAAUAUAUGAGUAUAGUUAAAUGUGCCACUUAGCACAUAAAUACUAGGCAAGGUUUUGAAGCAGCACACAAUGUUCCAAAAUUAUUUUGAAUAGUUUAACUAUUUGUUUAAGUUGAAAUGGUUCAAAUAAAUACUGGUGAUUUAGUUUUAAGUAGGUUAGGGACAAUUUAAAUAAUCAAAAGAGGUUGGCUCCUACAUGAAAAAUAGUUAGGGGAUAUUUUUAACCCAUCAAACAUUUUUCCUUAUCGGUUUGAAGAAAUAAUAAUUUGACUUGUUUUUGGAAUUUGAAUUUGAAUCGGUUUCGAACUAACGCCGAGAUUAGCAACAGUAUCGAGGUGACGUGGCAUCAUUAGCGGGGGAUCACUGUAGCUUAAUUAUUCAGGCGCCACAAUUCUCCUCCACUACAAGAAAUCUCGUCCCGAGAUUUAAGAGGGGAGUAAGGGGGAAGAAUAGGUUACGAAAUUCUAACGAUUCUUCUCAAAGAAGUUAAUCCCUUUCGUUGAUGUCUUCAAUUCUUUAUUCCAAAGCAUCAUGAUGAAGUUGUCGUCCUUUCUUCGGGGAACUCCAUCAUACUUACGUAUAGGUAAGGGGUAGCUCUACAAUGAUAGGAUGUUAUAAGGGAAAUUCAUCUGGGGGUAUCCCAAGAAUGAACAUAUGAGUAUCUCUCGAGUUGAACAAAUGACACACAUCGAGAGCAAAGUAAGACGAUGCAAUAAGAAGUUUCAAGCGGAUAGGCAAUCGUUCAUUGCCUGAAGCAGAGUGCGAAAGGGGUUCAAAGCAACGGGAAUAAGUAUUGUCUCCGAUACCAGAAUAGAUCAACAGGCAAGUGGCCCGUGAAUUACAUACAAAGUCAAGCACGAGGAAUAACUUUGACAACAGGUUGUACAGGAGAGUCAGGAUUCGAUCAUGUGGAACUGUGGGUUAUGGGCCCACCAUGUGGGUUAAAAGUAGAAAGGGCGAUGAUGUCUUGCACGAUCAUGUAAGCAAGGCAUGUCAGAGAAUAACCUGUCAGUUAUGUCGGCAACAUCGGUACCAAGGGCGAGGGACGAAGAGAACCAAUUCCUGCUCGUUGAACAAGGCGGACCAAUAGGCAAAGUUCUUAUCCAUCGGUGGUUACCGGAAUGUCUUCAACAAUAGUAACAGGGUCUUACUGACAGAGUUGUACGUCGAGAUGUUUACAUAAGCAGGAGAAUAUCACUGCUUAGAUCAUAUAUACCACAAGCAACGUUAAACCAACCAAUGGAAGGAAAAUACGAUUAUCAUAUUAAACAGAACAAUGGAAAGGAAAAAUGUGUUUAAACACAUAUUUCAGGGGUAUAUCCUUCCCAAGGACAAGCAGAGUAUGAUAUCCAUGACAGGAUAUAAUGUAGAAAACUCUUUAGGUAGGGGAAGGAAUUUUCAUUACAUUACCCAUACAACGGUGUUUGGAUAAUUGAGCAAAAUACAUUUAGCAUUGGGCUUCAAAUGUUCCUGUUGAAAAUCGGAGUACCAUAGACAUGCUUUAGGAUAGCAUUGACAUGGUCUUCAAGCAAAAGGUCAGAUCUGGAUACACGAAGGAUUCAUCAGGAACAACUUAUAGAAUAUGUCUUACCAUUUCCUCAUGGAAGAAUAGAUAACCUUGCUAAAAGUAAGCUAUAACAAUAGGUCCUCCGGCCAGGUGUACUAGGCAUUACACCACCUUACCAGGUCAUAUAAUGACCAAUGUUAUAACUUUUGGAAAUAUGUCCCAACCAUCAUAUCUAACCGAGAUUCAGAUUUGAUCGGUGUCAAACUACCUCAGACUCAGGAUGCCUAAGAGGAAAAGGUGCAAUACAAAUUGAUGAGAUGACAUUGUAAGAUUCUCGGGAAAUGAACUAUGAAGUGAUUUCCGUUAACAAGAGUUCAUCAUUAACCCAAGGAGAGGACAAGGAGGUGUCUGGUGAACUCAACGGCAAAUCAUCGAGAUUUCCACAAUUAAGUGAACAAGGAGAUAACAUUUGUCAGAUCAAAUGAUAUAAGGAAGUAUGCUCGAGGAAAACAUACACAAUUAAACGUUGGUUGAAAGGUGCGCCCAAAAUAUGGGUUGGGUUGCACGGCCAAUGUCAGAAUGGUGAUUCAAUAAGCCAUAGUCGUAGAAUGAAACUAUAGACCAAUAACUUCAAAGCAAGAGGGUUGCUCGAAGUUUAGAAUUUACACAUCACAGACCAUUUGUCGGUAUUCCGAUUAGAAACAUCAGGGGACCAAGAAAAGAAUGGUGAUGUUAAUAAGUAUCACUGGUAUCAAGAAUUCUUAAGGGUGGUGAAUUUCUCACAACAUUGAGGACAUAAGAGAUGUUAAUGUUCCAAGGUAAAGAAUAACAAUUACUGGAUAGCAAGGAACUCAAGGUAUAACACCAAACACAAACAGGCUUGUGUUGGUGAGAAGGCAAUAAAGUGGUCGAUGAUAACGCAGAUCAUCGAGGGCAAGGAUGGUAUUUCUCAUCAUGAACUCAUUUGAUAUCCUGGAAGAGCUCAUAAGGUUGAUGAAGAUCACGACACACUUUGUCGAGAGAUUUCAAGAUGUAAUCGAUCGGCGAUGACAUCAAGUCAAAUGAAUGGUGAAGCGAAAGGUUAUUGGAACCAAGGGUACGACACAAACUCGAAAUCAAGUUUGAUGUUCAAGGUGAAAUGAUAUGACGAGGAAGAUCGAUGUAAGAUUAGCUCACCGUCGAAAUUUGUGCUCCGGGAAGGACCAAGUAGCAGAAUUAAAAUUAGCACGGUAAGGAUGUAGCCGAACAGGCUAGAAAUGACGCGAUCGGAUACAAACUCGUACUUAAAGAAGAUUAUCAAAAGUUGUUGAACCGUAGUGCAGACUCGGUUCAGUUAUCGGUGCCUUUGAGUGUUUAAUAACUCAGAGCCCAUGAAAACUGUAAUCAGUGAGAAUGUAGUACUUGAUGAAGAACUCAUAAGAAGUUAUGUAGUUCCAAGAUAAUCUCGAGAUACCAGGGGGGUAAUACUCGAAGAUGCAUCAAAGUAGAGGUUGGACUGGGGUAUUGAUCCGCAGAAGACAAAUGUUUAAACUUGCCCGAGAAAUGGGAACAAAGAAGAACAAUAUGGUCGACACCAUAACUACAAGGGGUCCAAUUUAAUGACACCGAAAGAAUUACUCGAAUGAGUAAAUAUUUGGCAAGAAGCUUCCAUGAUAAGUUCCACAUCGGGUCCAUGGGCAUGAACGCAGAGUUCAAGGUCGACUCCCACUUCUCCAAUGCAUACCCUUUCAUUCACUUCUCGCUUUCGAUGAAGUUGUAGUGUUGAAAUAUUAUCUGGCAAAACACCAGAAGAGUAUGACUCAUGAAAACUCUCGGGUGCAUACGGUUAGGGAAGGCAUAGGUUCAACCCAUAGGGGCAUCUUAGGAACAUAUACCACAAACAUCAGGAGUAAUUAUCACCAGCUCGAAAGUAGAGCAUGGUUGACAAAGCAGAGGAUACAAUUUACCAAAGGCAUUAUAUACCCGUGGAAAAGCUCACAAGGUUAUUGAAUAUGAAGGACGAUGUCGGAUGAAAUCCAACAAUGGAUCGGGCGAUCCACAACGGAGCUGAUGUGAGUAUCGGUAUUCCAGAAAGAAUGCACGGGCAUCAUAUUAUAGAACAUCGGAAUAAUUCGAUGCUUAGAUAACAAAGGAAUUAUGAUUUCCAAAACAAAUGAUCAGAAGAAGAUGCUCUGAUCAAGGAUGGAUAAGUUGGAUAGACCAGAGGCACAAUUGACGACAAAUAGUUUGGUCGAGAACCAGCUCAUGUUCGAAAUGACAUCUGAGCCGGAAAAAUAAUUUAGAAGGGUUGAUAGAUGAUUGUGUGCAUUCGCACACAUGUUGAAUCAAUAGGAUCAAAAUGACGGUGUCAAAAGAUACUAGUGAAUAUUGCUAGUGAUAUGGGAGCAUCCAUAAUGUAAGCAUUCAAGUAUUUGCAGAGCAAUAGUUUGAAGAGGAUGCUCAGAAGGUCGGAUAGUAUUUCAGAGUAUCUUAUGAAGCAUACGAACAACUGGGGAUGAACAGAUACUCAAUAAGUGCGAGGAAUUUUCAAUAGGGAUAUUCAUGUGGUAAGGAACUGCAAGGCAGUAAGCUUAAAGGAUUUUCGGAACAACGGAGAGCAAUUUAGGGCAUCUUGUAAUAACAAGAGCAACUGAGGAUGAAGGUAUGAACGACAAUUGUAGGUAGUUAUCCAUAAGGGUAUAUCGGUGGUAGGGGAUUGUAAAUUCAGUGGGCACAAGGGUCUCGGGAAAACCUCGGAGAGUAUCUUCGGAAUCUUCUGGUGCAGCAAGCGAUCAACUGGAGUGAGGGGCUCUCCAGGAGAAAGUAUUUUCGAGAACCUAAAGUUAGUCUUUUUAGCAAAUCAUUUAACCCGAAUAGAAGAGAGAUCAGAGUCCCAGAGUAUAGACAAGGAGUAAAAGAUCCUAAUACCACCCAAUGGCGACGUGGGCCCGUAAGCCACACAGCCAUGUUAGUAAAAGUUUUUCAAUGACUAGACUCGACUUCGGCCAAGGAGUGUGGAAGGGGGAUUCCUACAGGCAGUCGACUCUGAUACCAACUUGUGAUGCCCCCGAUUCAAUCGUACACUAAUCAUGCACGCAAAUGUGUACGAUCAAGAUCAGGGACUCACGAGAAAAUAUCACAACACAACUCUAAAAGUAAAAAUAAGUCAUACAAGCAUCAUAUUACAAGCGAGGGGCCUCGAGGGCUCGAAUACAAGUGCUCGAUCAUAGACGAGUCGGCGGAAGCAACAAUAUCUGAGUACAGACAUAAGUUAAACAAGUUGCCAUAAGAUGGCUAGCACAAACUGGGAUACAGAUCGAAAGAGGCGCAGGCCUCCUACCUGGGAUCCUCCUAACUACUCCUGGUCGUCGUCAGUGGGCUGCACGUAGUAGUAGGCACCUCCGGUGUAGUAGGAGUCGUCAUCGACAGUGGCGUCUGGCUCCUGGACUCCAGCAUCUAGUUGCGACAACCAGAAAGAAAGGAAAGGGGGAAAAAGGGGGGAGAAAGCAACCAUGAGUACUCAUCCAAAGUACUCGCAAGCAAGGAACUACACUACAUAUGCAUGGGUAUAUGUGUAAGGAGGCCAUAUUAGUGGACUGAACUGCAGAAUGCCAGAAUAAAAGGGGGAUAGCUAGUCCUAUCGAAGACUACGCUUCUGGCAGCCUCCAUCUUGCAGCAUGUAGAAGAGAGUAGAUUGAAGUCCUCCAAGUAGCAUCUCCAAGUAGCACCGCAUAGCAUAAUCCUACCCGGUGAUCCUCCCCUCGUCGCCCUGUGGAAAAGCGAUCACCGGGUUGUUUGUGGAACUUGGAAGGGUGUGUUUUAUUAAGUAUCCGGUUCUAAUUGUCAUAAGGUCAAGGUACAACUCCAAGUCAUCCUGUUACCGAAGAUCACGGCUAUUCGAAUAGAUUAACUUCCCUGCAGGGGUGCACCACAUAACCCAACACGCUCGAUCCCAUUUGGCCGCACACACUUUCCUGGGUCAUGCCCGGCCUUGGAAGAUCAACAUGUCGCAGCCCCACCUAGGCACAACAGAGAGGUCAGCACGCCGGUCUAAAUCCUAUGCACGCAGGGGUCUGGGCCCAUCGCCCAUUGCACACCUGCACGUUGCGAGGGCGGCCGGAAGUAGACCUAGCCUCCCUUAUACAAGAGUAGGCGUUCCAGUCCAAUCCGGCGCGCGCCGCUCCGUCGCUGACGUCAAGAAGGCUUCGGCUGAUACCACGACGUCGAGUGCCCAUAACUGUUCCCGCGUAGUUGGUUAGUGCGUAUAGGCCAGUAGCCAGACUCAGAUCAAAUACCAAGAUCUCGUUAAACGUGUCAAGUAUCCGUGAACGCCGACCAGGGCCAGGACCACCUGUCUCCUAGGUGGUCUCAACCUACCCUGUCGCUCCGCCACAAAGUAACAGUCGGGGGCCGUCGGGAACCCAGGCCCACCUCUACCGGGAUGGAGCCACCUGUCCUUCCAGCCCCCACAUCGGAACCACUUGCGGGUACUCAACAAGCUGACCCGACUUUAGUCACCAUCUGUAUAGGAUAUGUAUGUAUAGUAAAUACCCGUGAUCACCUCCCGAGUGAUCACGACCCGAUAGUAUAGCAAGGCAGACUGACAAGAAUGUAGGGCCAAUGAUGAUAAACUAGAAUCCUAUACUAGGCAUUUAGGAUUGCGGGUAAGGUAUCAAUGACUGUAGCAACAAUGACAGGCUAUGCAACUGAAUAGGAGUAACUGAACAGUAACAUGCUACACUACUCUAAUGCAAGCAUUAUAGAGAAGAAUAGGCGAUAUCUGGUGAUCAAAGGAGGGGCUUGCCUGGUUGCUCUGGCAAGGAGGGGUCGUCAACUCCGUAGUCGAACUGGGGGUCGCCGGCAGUCUCGGGGUCUA
rnacentral:lncRNA from 1 species